rnacentral:rRNA from 1 species
UACGUAGGGCGCAAGCGUUGUCCGGAAUUAUUGGGCGUAAAGAGCUCGUAGGCGGCCUGUCGCGUCUGCUGUGAAAUCCCGGGGCUUAACCCCGGGCGUGCAGUGGAUACGGGCUGGCUGGAGGCAGGCAGGGGAGAACGGAAUUCCCGGUGUGAGCGGUGAAAUGCGCAGAGUAUCGGGAGGAACACCGGUGGCGAAGGCGGUCUCUGGGCCUGUACUGACGCUGAGGAGCGAAAGCGUGGGGAGCGAACAGG